rnacentral:rRNA from 1 species
CACCUUCGGGUGUGAAUUAGCGGCGAACGGGUGAGGAACACGUGAGAAAUCUGCCUUCAACACUGGGAUAACUCCGGGAAACCGGGGCUAAUACCGGAUAUGAAAUCUGCGGGCAUCCGCGGAUUUGGAAAGUUUUUCGGUUGAAGAUGAUCUCGCGGCCUAUCAGCUUGUUGGUGAGGUAAUGGCUCACCAAGGCGACGACGGGUAGCCGGCCUGAGAGGGCGACCGGCCACACUGGGACUGAGACACGGCCCAGACUCCUACGGGAGGCAGCAGUGGGGAAUAUUGGGCAAUGGAGGAAACUCUGACCCAGCGACGCCGCGUGCGGGAUGAAGGCCUUCGGGUUGUAAACCGCUUUCAGCAGGGAAGAAGCGAAAGUGACGGUACCUGCAGAAGAAGCACCGGCUAACUAUGUGCCAGCAGCCGCGGUAAUACAUAGGGUGCAAGCGUUGUCCGGAAUUAUUGGGCGUAAAGAGCUCGUAGGUGGUUCGUCACGUCGGAUGUGAAACUCUGGGGCUUAACCCCAGACCUGCAUUCGAUACGGGCGAGCUUGAGUAUGGUAGGGGAGUCUGGAAUUCCUAGUGUAGCGGUGGAAUGCGCAGAUAUCAGGAGGAACACCAAUGGCGAAGGCAGGACUCUGGGCCAUUACUGACACUGAGGAGCGAAAGCGUGGGGAGCGAACAGGAUUAGAUACCCUGGUAGUCCACGCCGUAAACGGUGGGCACUAGUUGUGGGGACCUUCCACGGUCUCUGCGACGCAGCUAACGCAUU